CUCAGGCCUCGACAUUAACAGUUGCCCGCUUGCCCGGGGCAACCAAAAGUCAUAUUUGGGCAAGUUGAGAUGGAUUUCUGGUUGCCCGAACGGGCAAGUGGAUUUUGGGUGGAUGUUAAUAUAAAGGCUAUUUAUUCAAAUGUUUUUAGAAACUGCAGAACAACCUUUUUUGCCGCAAAAUAACACAAAAUAUAAGUAUUUGCAAUUGAUCAGCGCGCAGUCUUCUCUUCUCUCGGAAAGCGAGUUAACAGACACGCAUCGCUUCAGUGUGAAUAUAGCCCCGCCUUCUGUCACUCGCUGUGCGUUCUCUGGCCGCGAUUCGAAGGUGUUAGCUAAAGGUUAGCCAACAAAGCUAGCAUCGCAAGUGCAGUGCCUCCGCCAACGGUUUAGGUCGAAGGAAAAUGGAGUAGUGAUGGAGGAGUGCAGCUUGGAAGUACUUUGGAUUGAGGCAAAUUACCAAAGAAAGUCAUAUGCAAGAACACGGUUUUGGGUUUCAUAACUGUGCACAUGCACAGCAAUAGCGAUCUUUUUCACGAAAUUGGACCCUCACAAACUAUAUAUAACAUGAAAGCUGAGCCUCCACUUAAUCCAAACCAUAUCAUUCUGUGACUAAAACUCGCAAAUAACAACUUAUGAAGAAACGUCCCCUUUUCUUUUAACAACCAAAAAUGAAGUAUUACCUUUGUGAUUUUUGUCCACAAAGUUGAUUCUGGUCGAAUAAAACCACCAUAAACAGAUAACCCAGUGUAAAUUGCCUUCAAUCAGAAAACAUAUUCUUCAGCGCAAUCUAGUGGCCAUAUGUUUAUUUGUGAGUGUCAGUGUCAAAAUUGUAAGAUACCUACCUUUAUUUGUGUCUCAUAGUAAGACAUCGCUCCCAACUGAUAACGACCAACUGAUAAUUAUUUCAGGUGGAAAUGUUAUCUUCCACUUAUGCCAUGGCUUUAUUCACUUUAACCAAGUAUCAUCCCCAUUGAAUAUUUCACUUUCACAACAAUCUUUCUUUUGGCACAAAGAUGACAUUAUCGCCCUUGCAGUUGUGGAGAUACUCUAUUUACUUUGGGUAUGUUCUUUCCUGAAAAAAACUUUUCCCCGGAUAUCAAAAAUGGUAUAGAAUAUCGAUAUUUUUCCAGGUAUAGUGUCAAAGUUAGAAAAUUCAGUAUCGUGACUGACAACACUACUAGAAACGCGAUUGUGAUUAUUCAGUUAGAGCUACAAGAAAUGUAAAAGUUACAAAAGACAUAUCUUUGCUACUACCACUGACAUUUACUAAAGUACAUUUGCAUGAAAUCAUGCAGGUCUACAUAUAACUUGGCGAUAGCUUUAAUAUGUUGCGGUGGACUGAAAUCACUUCAUGGCACGAUGUGACCGCUCGAUAAAUAAGUAAACAAAGAGAAGUUUGUUAUUUUUUAAACACAACAUGUGUGGAAGCUAACAUUCAGCUUCAGUCUGAGCUAGGGUGAUUUUUC